CGCGGUGGUCCCACCUGACCCCAUGCCGAACUCAGAAGUGAAACGCCGUAGCGCCGAUGGUAGUGUGGGGUCUCCCCAUGCGAGAGUAGGGAACUGCCAGAC
rnacentral:rRNA from 5 species